UGGAAAUCAGGAUCAGCUGAGAGCCUGAGAGGCCGGUGGGCAAGUCACAGGCUGGUGACACAUCCAUUCAGAUGGGCAUGCACAAAAGAAGAUUUGUAUGCGCUUGAAAGUAAUUCUGGCUUAUUUGAGAAGCAACAGUUUGACACUGGUGUCAAAUAAAUUAAAAAUCAGCUUAAUGGUGGCAAACAACGCAUCAGUACAAACAAUAACAUUUGAACCAAUGUAUAGAGAAAAGUAAAAGAAAGAAGAUUAAAACAUCAGCACAAUGUGGGUGUCAAAUAAGACUUUGGACAUCAGGAAAAUGAUAUACUAAAAAUACUGUUUUCAGCUGAAGACUGUAAACUGAUGUACAAAAUCACCUACCUACUCCAGCAACUACUUAAAGCAACACAUAACCCUUUGACUAUUCAGAUUUUGAAAUUUCUGUGCUAAAAAUCCAUCAUGGUGUAUUUUAGAGGAGAAAAACUCACAAAAAAACCCAGAACAAAAUAAAAAACCAAAACUGAAACAAAAAUAUCCUAGGAAAAAACA